AUGUUUGAAGUUUUCUUUUCUUUUAAAAUCAUGCGACGUCUCCAGAUGCCUCCAUGUUUUUUCCAUUGUUUUUUAUUUCUGACGUAUCUCAUUGUUCCUACUGGACAACGAACGCAGCGUUACGAGACGAGAGGGCGGAGAAAAAGGAAAGCGAACCCGAAGGAGAGCGAACCCGAACACGAAGGAGAGCGAACCCGAACCCGAAGGAGAGCGAACCCAAGGAGAGCAAACCCGAACCCGAAGGAGAGCGAACCCGAACCCGAAGGAGAGCGAACCCGAAGGAGAGCGAACCCAAGGAGAGCGAACCCGAACCCAAGGAGAGCGAACCCGAACCCGAAGGAGAGCGAACCCCAAGGAGAGCGAACCCGAACCCAAGGAGAGCGAACCCGAACCCCAAGAAGAGCGAACCCAAGGAGAGCGAACCCAAGGAGAACGAACCCGAACCCGAAGGAGAGCGAACCCGAACCCGAAGGAGAGCGAACCCGAACCCAAGGAGAGCGAACCCGAACCCGAGGAGAGCGAACCCGAAGGAGAGCGAACCCGAACCCGAAGGAGAGCGAACCCCAAGGAGAGCGAACCCCAAGGAGAGCGAACUCAAGGAGAGCGAACCCAAGGAGAGCGAACCCGAACCCGAAGGAGAGCGAACCCCAAGGAGAGCGAACCCGAAGGAGAGCGAACCCGAAGGAGAGCGAACCCCAAGGAGAGCGAACCCAAGGAGAGCGAACCCCAAGGAGAGCGAACCCGAACCCGAAGGAGAGCGAACCCCAAGGAGAGCGAACCCGAAGGAGAGCGACCCCGAAGGAGAGCGAACCCCAAGGAGAGCGAACCCAAGGAGAGCGAACCCCAAGGAGAGCGAACCCAAGGAGAGCGAACCCCAAGGAGAGCGAACCCCAAGGAGAGCGAACCCCAAGGAGAGCGAACCCCAAGGAGAGCGAACCCGAAGGAGAGCGAACCCGAAGGAGAGCGAACCCAAGGAGAGCGAACCCGAAGGAGAGCGAACCCGAACCCCAAGGAGAGCGAACCCCAAGGAGAGCGAACCCCAAGGAGAGCGAACCCCAAGGAGAGCGAACCCGAAGGAGAGCAAACCCGACCCCAAGGAGAGCGAACCCCAAGGAGAGCGAACCCGAAGGAGAGCAAACCCGACCCCAAGGAGAGCGAACCCGACCCCAAGGAGAGCGAACCCCAAGGAGAGCGAACCCGAACCCAAGGAGAGCGAACCCCAAGGAGAGCGAACCCAAGGAGAGCGAACCCGAACCCAAGGAGAGCGAACCCCAAGGAGAGCGAACCCAAGGAGAGCGAACCCGAACCCAAGGAGAGCGAACCCGAAGGAGAGCGAACCCGAAGGAGAGCGAACCCGAAGGAGAGCGAACCCAAGGAGAGCGAACCCGAACCCAAGGAGAGCGAACCCGAAGGAGAGCGAACCCGAACCCGAAGGAGAGCGAACCCCAAGGAGAGCGAACCCCAAGGAAAACGAACCCGAACCCAAGGAGAGCGAACCCGAACCCCAAGAAGAGCGAACCCAAGGAGAGCGAACCCGAACCCCAAGAAGAGCGAACCCAAGGAGAGCGAACCCGAACCCGAAGGAGAGCGAACCCAAGGAGAGCGAACCCGAACCCGAAGGAGAGCGAACCCAAGGAGAGCGAACCCAAGGAGAGCGAACCCAAGGAGAGCGAACCCCAAGGAGAGCGAACCCCAAGGAGAGCGAACCCGAAGGAGAGCGAACCCCAAGGAGAGCGAACCCCAAGGAGAGCGAACCCCAAGGAGAGCGAACCCCAAGGAGAGCGAACCCCAAGGAGAGCGAACCCGAACCCCAAGGAGAGCGAACCCCAAGGAGAGCGAACCCAAGGAGAGCGAACCCAAGGAGAGCGAACCCCAAGGAGAGCGAACCCCAAGGAGAGCGAACCCAAGGAGAGCGAACCCAAGGAGAGCGAACCCCAAGGAGAGCGAACCCGAACCCCAAGAAGAGCGAACCCAAGGAGAGCGAACCCAAGGAGAGCGAACCCAAGGAGAGCGAACCCGAACCCCAAGAAGAGCGAACCCAAGGAAAACGAACCCGAACCCAAGGAGAGCGAACCCAAGGAGAGCGAACCCAAAGCCAAAUAUGAAACUGGCAAGAAAAGGAGACGAGCAGCUCGGUGA
ensembl:lncRNA